CUGGAAAAGAGUUGAAUGGAUAGAAACUCUCGUGUUCGCUAAAUUGUGCUGCGUUUUGUGUCCUAUGGAGGUCAAAAGCAUGGCCAAAGUUGUUUUGUAAUAGAUUGGAGCUCAUGUCCAAAGAAAUCCUCACUGCUUCCUAUGAAAGGAACUUGUACGUGUGUAGCCUGGAAAGGAGGUGGAUGGGUACCAACUUUUGUGUUAGCUAAAUUGUUCUGCCCUUUGUGUAUUAUGGAGUCCAAAAGGUUAAUGUAUCAGAAGAACUUCCGGAUGAAAGUUCGGAUGCAUUUCUUGAUGGUUAUGUUAUGGAGAAUGUACUUCAGAGGAGAAGUAUGCCGAUGGCAGUUUCAGAAAGAGUGUCAGCUGAGAAGAACCUCUUGGUGAAACGGUUAGCCAAUAUGCUUAAGCUUUAUUUGAUGAAACUGGAGUUAACCGAAGAUUUCUUAAAUUAUAGUGUUAAAGAGCUUCUUCCACGGUGUCCAGAUCUGAGAUUGAUUCUCAUGAGUGCCACUUUAAAUGCUGAACUCUUUUCUAAUGAGCUUCACAGGAAUCCUGAUCUGGUUUAGAGGAUUGGAGCAGCUACUGCAGUCGAAGUCAGAGCCACUGGAAUUCCAUACACAUUCUGUAUUCUAGAUCUUAUUAGUUCUCACCUUCUGCCAAAGUCUUCUAAAUCUGGUUUUUGUCAUUUCGGAUUGGCAAAGAGUUGAUAAGAUUUCCUCACCACGGCAUACAAACUACACAGCUUCUGCCCGAGCUGCAAUUCAAGUUGGAAUUAAUAUGGUCAUGGUCCCGUUCAACUUUACCAAGUCUGUCAAAUGAUCUUAUGUUGGACCAAUGCUUUCUCUCUGUGUGUUCUCUUGAUGAUGCUUGAUGUUUAAGCUUUGUUGGAGGGUGAAGAUUUCAAUAAAGCAGAAAACUUUCGCCUAACAGCUCGGCCACAGACAAUUUCUUGAAGCCUUACGAGUGCCAUCAGUGCCCGCAACGCUUUCCUGGCCUGUUUAGUAAUCAGUCACAAGAUCAAACACUGCAUGAAAGACAGCUUAAAACAGAAACUAGGAUGCUUUAAAGUAGAGAGUGUCUGACCAGGUAAGCCCUGGAGGCACUUUGAAUUUUGAUUGCAGCCAAAUCAGGAUAACGCUUCUUGAAGGCGUUACCGGCCAUCCAGAAAACCUCAGCUGCAACAGCCGUGGCAAUGGCUACAUUCACAGAAUCACAGCAUGCUUUCUCUGAUCCUGUGUUGCUUCGUUCAAAGUCCUUGUCUCUUGCCCACAAGUUGCAAUCUGCUGUCUCAGUUUCAGUCUCCUAAACACCCAUCUCAAUCUCUUUGGCUUCUACAAAAAGACGUAUCAGUUUAUAGAUUCAGAAACCUAAACAUUUGAAUGGUAGUAAAGAGAAAGGAAACACUGAAGUCCCAGUUGAUAUGUAUUACGGGCCUCAAUUUGGUCUGAUAAUUUGACCCAUUUAAACGGUAAAGGCCCAGUUAAAAGUGUGAGCCUCUGAGAGCCAGAUUA